CUCGGAGUUUGAUCCUGGCUCAGAUUGAACGCUGGCGGAAUGCUUUACACAUGCAAGUCGAACGGUAGAGGGGGCAACCCCUCGAGAGUGGCGAACGGGUGAGUAAUAUAUCGGAACGCGCCCAGUCGUGGGGGAUAACGUAGCGAAAGUUACGCUAAUACCGCAUACGAUCUAAGGAUGAAAGCGGGGGAUCGCAAGACCUCGCGCGAUUGGUAGGCGGCCGGAUAUCAGAUUAGGUAGUUGGUUGGAGGUAAAGGCUCACCAAGCCAACGAUCUGUAGCUGGUCUGAGA
rnacentral:rRNA from 1 species